AAAUGAAUUGACGGGACCCGCACAAGCGGUGGAUGAUGUGGUUUAAUUCGAUGCAACGCGAAAACCUUACCCACCUUUGACAUGUACGGAAGUUGCCAGAGAUGGCUUCGUGCUCGAAAGAGAGCCGUAACACAGGUGCUGCAUGGCUGUCGUCAGCUCGUGUCGUGAGAUGUUGGGUUAAGUCCCGCAACGAGCGCAACCCUUGUCAUUAGUUGCUACGAAAGGGGCACUCUAAUGAGACUGCCGGUGACAAACCGGAGGAAGGUGGGGAUGACGUCAAGUCCUCAUGGCCCUUAUAGGUGGGGCUACACACGUCAUACAAUGGCUGGUACAAAGGGUUGCCAACCCGCGAGGGGGAGCCAAUCCCAUAAAGCCAGUCGUAGUCCGGAUCGCAGUCUGCAACUCGACUGCGUGAAGUCGGAAUCGCUAGUAAUCGUGGAUCAGCAUGUCACGGUGAAUACGUUCCCGGGUCUU
rnacentral:rRNA from 1 species